AAUUAGAAUUCAAUUAUUAUUAAACAAUUAAUCUGUUUGCGAUAAAGAACUGUUCAGCGGUAAUGAGAUUUAUUAAUUUGCUAUUUUCUUCGUAAUUGCAAGAAGCGGACCAAAUUCCGAAGGCGUGAGUUCAGUAUGGAAUGAAACUGAUAGUGAUUAGUGUGCGCUAAAAAGCCAGAAGUAUUUGUGUGCUUCGUUUAAAUUUUAUUUUGCUCAUUUUUCCUUCGGAAAUCGGCUAGGAACUGUGGUUACAAGUAGGUUUCGUCACCGGUGAACGGGAUGUGAAGUCGAGGAUUCCAUAAAUAUUACACAGGCAGAAAGCAUCAAUGGAGCCUGGAAGGUCAAGAUGGAUCAGAAAUAAUACAAUGUUUAGCAGCUGCAAGACGAGCCAACGUGAAUUCAAGUUAAACAAAAUUGUAUCGCCAAAACAGUGUGACAAUGGAAUUCAUGGAACAACUUCAGCGUGAGAAAACAGGAUUCCUGGAACCCGAACUAACUCGAGAACUACGGUGGAAAUUCCAAAAAUAUUCAGUGCUAUCGUUUGGAGCGACCGACGGCUUUUUACUGGGAUCCAGUUUUGCUCAAAAGGUCACCAAUCGGAAAACCACAAGUUGCGGGUAGUGAUAGUAUUAUAAUUGGUUUUAAGAGUAAGAAACCCACCGUCGUUUCACCCACAAGAGGAUGUACAAAGUAACUUCCAAUUUUUAUAUUAAAAUAACAAUUAAACAACGCAGGAUGAUAUCGCACGUAAUCAUCAUCAGAGGAGAUGGUAUUAGUUGCCAAAAUCAGCUACAACCAUUCAUCACAUUCCAUUUAUAUCUCAACUUAGGUGAACGAGGCCAGGCAUGGAACUACGUUGUUGUGUUUCGCUAGGAAUGGAUCGUGGAGUACUACUAACUAAAAUAGAUACUAGAGUAAAAUGAUUCAAACGAAAUAAAGAUAUUCAAACGCAUUCACUUCUUCUUCUUCUUUUUCUUCUUCUACGGGUCUACAUUCCAAGUGGAACCUGGCGCGUUUUUCAACUUGGUAUCCUUCACCAUUUUCUCAGUUAAAAUUUGAAAGCUUUUCUAUGCCCGCCAUUGCAUAAGUGUA